CCUACGGGUGGCAGCAGGGAGGAAUAUUGGUCAAUGGACGAGAGUCUGAACCAGCCAAGUAGCGUGAAGGAUGACUGCCCUAUGGGUUGUAAACUUCUUUUAUAUGGGAAUAAAACGUUCCACGUGUGGGAUUUUGUAUGUACCAUAUGAAUAAGGAUCGGCUAACUCCGUGCCAGCAGCCGCGGUAAUACGGAGGAUCCGAGCGUUAUCCGGAUUUAUUGGGUUUAAAGGGAGCGUAGGUGGAUUGUUAAGUCAGUUGUGAAAGUUUGCGGCUCAACCGUAAAAUUGCAGUUGAAACUGGCAGUCUUGAGUACAGUAGAGGUGGGCGGAAUUCGUGGUGUAGCGGUGAAAUGCUUAGAUAUCACGAAGAACUCCGAUUGCGAAGGCAGUUCACUGGACUGCAACUGACACUGAGGCUCGAAAGUGUGGGUAUCAAACAGGAUUAGAUACCCUUGUAGUC
rnacentral:rRNA from 1 species